rnacentral:snRNA from 1 species
AGCUUUGCGCAGUGGCAGUAUCAUAGCCAAUGAGGUUUAUCCGAGGCGUGAUUAUUGCUAAUUGAAAGA